rfam:Haemonchus placei strain MHpl1 genome assembly, scaffold: HPLM_scaffold0000626
UUCAGAUAUGGCGACCUCGUCCCAUUGAGCACUCAAGGCAAAAUUGUUGGCUCAAUGUGCGCCUUAAUCGGAGUGCUCACCCUGGCACUACCUGUUCCCAUCAUUGUACGCCCAU